AAGAAAUAGAGGAGUUCACAAAGAGAAGUACGCGCAGUUGGUUUCUUCAGGUUCAUAUAUGGAAAAUCUUUUGCAAUGUGUCUUGCCUACGGUUUUUCAUACAAAUACUCCAAGAAGAUUAUUCUCAUUGCUUAAAGGGAUAAUAGGGUUGUUCUAGAUCUUCUCUCUCUGCUUGAUCGUCUUUAGCUCCAGAAGCAAGGAAAUUUACUGAAUCUAUCUCCAAACUAUCUAGUUUUUUGUUGCCUCUUAAUCUUUAUUUCCUUUCUAUGUUUAUUGGUUUUAUUCCCCAAAAAUUUUCACCUGGUUAAUAUCUAAAUUUUGCCUAUAUUGUUCCUUAUUUCUUUAUCCAUGCUUUCUCACAAGACAGAUGCAGCCAAGAGAAGAUCAUCACCGAGAAACAUUGCAGGCAAUUUUGCUUCCUUGGGUUUCGUCCUUCUUCAUCUCAGGGGUACAUUCACUUAUUGACUCACAAAGACGAUCCAUAUGGUAACCAACCCACAAUCUCCAUUUGUGGAGAUCAAAUUUCAUAACAUUAAAAGCAGAAGUGUGAAGACGCUCAUGGGUUAUUUGCAUUAAUAUCAUCAAGAAAUUUUGUCAGAUCUCAUUGCUUUUGGUUUCUCCUAAGGUAUUUGCUUUCAGCCUUUCACGGGAACAAGAAGAGAGUCUGAAUGAAGCUGGAGUUCUCUGAUGCUAUUAGUCAUUGAAAGUCUAGAAUCAUUUUGCUUGUGGCUAAUUAGAAAUACUUUUUUCUUUUCUUUGUCAAUUUGUUCAAUUGGCACUGGUAUAUGGUUUAGUCUCGCUAAGUAGAUUUUCUUUUUAUACUGCAUGUAUAUGCAUUUUAUUAUUCGUUUGAAUAUACUGUAA